UGUAAGUUAGUGUAAUAUGCACUAAGAUUUUUGGUUUCUUCAGUAUCGGAUUUAACCGUUUCUUGCAU
rnacentral:tRNA from 1 species